UCUGCAGCUCCCAGAGGUGGUGGUUGUGCUAGGAAGGCUGACCCUGCCAAUGGCCGACAAGAUGGUGCGCACCCCCAAGAGCUCGAGAUGCAGGAACCAUGGCUUCCUGGUGCCCGUCAAGGGCCACGCGGGCAAAUGCCGCUGGAAGCAGUGCCUCUGCGAGAAGUGCUACCUGAUCUCCGUGCGCCAGAAGAUCAUGGCCGUGCAGAAGGUGCUCAAGACGCAGGCCGCCGAGGGGGAGUAGGAGGCGGCCCUGGGUGCGCAAGGUCCAGAGCAGGCCUCCGGGGCCGCGGCCGCCGCCCCCGCCCCCCUCCCGGGCGCGUGUCCCCGCCCUCUCCCUCCGGAGACCCCCUCCGGAGACGCCAGGCCGGUACCCGAGGGCCGCGCGGCCGCCUGCUUCUUCGAGCGGCCCUCGCGGGGCCAGAGUCCCGGCCCGAGCGCCUUCCAACCGGUUCUGGGCGGCCGCGGCCACGUGGAGCCGAGCGAGCGAGCCGCCGUGGCGAUGCCCAGCCUUGCGGGACCCGCUUUUGGGGCGGAGGCCACAGGCAGUGGCUACCCCGGCCCCCUGGACCUGCGCAGGCCGCUGCGGUCCGUGCCUGGCCCGCCGUUCACCGACUUUGGGCGCCCUGUGAGCAUCAACCCGGACCGCGCACUGGGCCCUGAGUACCCUGGCGGCUCCAGCAUGCACCCCUACUGCCCGUUCCCACUGGGCUACCUGGACGCCCCUCCUGGCGUCCCCCUGCAGCAGGGCUUCCGGCAUGUGUCCCGCAGCCAGUACCAAGGCGGAGGCUUGGCAUCAGAACCAGUGGGAGACUUCCAGCCAAGCUACUACCUGCCGCGGCCGCCACUGCCGCCCCUUCCACCGCUUCCACCACAGCCCCAGUUCCUCCCGCCAGGCUACCUCUCUGCGCUCCACUUCCUCCCCCACCACCCCCCACCACCACCACCACCACCACCUCCGUCAUCUUUCUCACUGACCGUCCUGUUUGAUACUGACAAGAAGAACACUGAUGAUCAGGAUGCAGAGGUGCCACCGGGUGAGCCCAGCCAGCCAUCGUCUCAGGAGCAGUCCGACUAGGCCCCAGGCCCGCCCUCCAGGCCAGCAGAGUAGGGCACUGGGGGGCGACAGCAACAGUUUUCUUGUCUUCAUUCAGUGAUGUGUAGGGAGGGAGGAAGGUUGAUAGCAUAGAUGGCAACUGAUUCCCAGUUCAAUAUAGGAGGAAGGAGGGCGAUUUCUAAGUUUCAGUUCUGCGGUGUACAGU